CACGUAGGGUGCGAGCGUUGUCCGGAAUUAUUGGGCGUAAAGGGCGCGUAGGCGGCCACGCACGUCCGUUGUGAAAUCGCCCGGCUCAACUGGGCGGGGUCGGCGGAUACGGCGUGGCUGGAGCAAGCUAGGGGGCAAUGGAAUUCCCGGUGUAGUGGUGGAAUGCGUAGAUAUCGGGAGGAACACCAGUGGCGAAGGCGGUUGCCUGGAGCUUUGCUGACGCUGAGGCGCGAAAGCGUGGGGAGCGAUCCGG
rnacentral:rRNA from 1 species